GUGUACGGAGACCCAUACUUGUUGAUGCAGUCUGCAGGAAGAAAGGGAAUGGAUGUGGAAGAACAGCACAGUACAUCCAGGCAGCGUCCAGUCUGAUUGACAUGGGCCCUGCAGGUCCUGGAGGACAGCGAGGAGGGGCUGCGGCCAGGCCUUGCAGGGCUGCGCGGAGCGGGUACUGUGGGGUGGGGGUGACCCUGCUGCCCUCAACUCCCAUCACCAGCACGCCCCAUGCCACAGUCCCUGUGCACGCAGAAUGUUCCGGGUGAGGACGCUGUUGGAGGACACUGCACCAGCCACACGACCAACCCCACAGCUGGGCGGCGACUCCGAGCGACCAGGGCACACAGGCCCACCUGCCUCAGCCAGCAGCACAGGCCAGGAUUCAUCAUUAAAGAAACAGGAAAACAGAGAGGCCGGGGAGAGCGACCAAGCUAGGCUGAGCUGAAGGAGGGCACGGGCCUGUGGGGCUGUGGGCAGCCCCCGGGCAACAGCCCCAGGUGCGUCAUCUCUGCAGGGAUGAGCUAUGUCCACAAGUGCACAGUGGCCAUCUGACAGCCUCAGAGCUUUCAGAAAGGCAGAUCUAAGAGGGGUCAAGUCAACCACUAGAAAUGUAAGCGGAAACAGGCCUCCAUGGUUCAUCCAGAACCACUCUUUCAUCCCGGGUGACAUUUAUUCCACCCCAGGAGAAUUCUUUAAAAGGAACAUUCCAGCAGAACGGAAAACUUCGCUAUGAAAUCACCCUGACUUCAGGGCGGGAGGGACGUCAACGGGAAUCCACACCUUCUCGGACUUUCCAAAGUCACCCGCUCCCGAGCCCGCAGGAUAGAGUGGCCAGGCCGUCCUCACACGGCGGCUCCUGCGGGAGGCGGCCCCGGGCGCCCCGCCUUCUCCAAGGACAUUCCUAACCGAGGUGCCGGGGCCAGCACCGUCGGGCUCCUGAAAGCACCCGCUGCCUCCAGGAGAGCACCUGGCAGAACGGGGCCGCGGAGCCGCCCUCCCCUCCCGCAUGCGGCCCCGCUCGAUUCCUGGAAUCUUAUUUUUGGACCUGCUGCCGCAAGCAGUUCCCGCCCUCGGCCCUUUCAAUUCCUCUUUCGGGAGGGGACUGCUCUCCACCCCUCUCAGGAGGACGAGGCGCGGCCCGGGGGUUCCUCACCUCCAGCCCAGCAGAGGGAGGGCCGCGGGGAAGCGGUUUGGGUUUUAACCAUUGUGUUUCUCUCGCACUUUGGAAACGGACUCCCGGCUUCCCCGCGGGGAGGCGUCUGACAGCGAGCGUUUCCCGGACAGCCCCGCAGCGUCUCACCGGCCUGCGCGGGGAUCCCGGGGUCGCCGGGGGAUGGGCGUGGGGGACGCGGGGCGGGCCGGGGCUCCUGGGACCCUGAGGCCAGGCCUCGCCGCGCGGAGCUGGGGGGCGGCAGCAGCGCUGCCUCUCGGGAGCGGUUGGAGGCGCGCGGGCGCCAGGGGUUCCCCCGCAUCCCGCCCGCCGGCUGCUCACCGUCUCGGGGUCGUUCUCGAACACCUCCCGCGCCUCCUCGCGGCUGCACAGCUCCUCCACGCACUCCCUCUCCAGGUGGCCCUGCUUGGCCUCCUCGAAGACCUGAAAGGCGCGGCGCUGCCUGGGCCGCAGGAACUGCGUGGCCUCGCGCGCCGGCAACAGCGCGG
rnacentral:lncRNA from 1 species